AAAGUGCACCACCUUAGAGACACCACUACUGGAAACAGACUAGAAAAAGAAAAUCUGAAUGUCUCCAACUAGGAACCCAACAGACAAGGAACAGAUGCCUAAUUAACAGAGUGAAACUUGAUCAUAAGGCUUGCUGCUAGGAGAUAAAAUGCAAUUCUUUAGCCAGCUGCGCAUCAGUUUCCUCUGCUUGGCAUCCUACAUGUCUCCAAGUUCUGCACUGACCACCUCAGGCU
rnacentral:lncRNA from 1 species